GUCUUUUAGGCAUUUCCUCGUCUAAAAUUUCACCUUCAUCACCAGGAGUGUUAUUUCCAGCAGCCCAUCUAGAGGAUGAAAUGUUCCUUGUGGGAGCAUAAUCAUCGUCCCCAAAAUUUUCUGCUUCAAGAUCAUUCUGCCAUGGUUUCCUAAGCAAAGCAGAAGAUGGCAUCAUUGGUGAACCACUUGCGGAGAAUUCAUCUGAUCCAAG
rnacentral:misc_RNA from 1 species